GCCUGGGUGGCUAAGUCGGUUAAGUGUCCGACUUGGGCUCAGGUCAUGAUCUCACAGUUCGUGGGUUCAAGCCCCACGUUGGGCU
rfam:Felis catus isolate Cinnamon breed Abyssinian chromosome B4, whole genome shotgun sequence.